UAUCUCUGUAGAGUCUGCAUAUCAAUAAGCGGAGGAAAAGAAACUAACAAGGAUUCCCCUAGUAACGGCGAGUGAAGCGGGAAGAGCUCAAAUUUGAAAUCUUCAAGGUUUGACCUUGACGAAUUGUAGUUUAAAGAAGUGUUUUCGGUUAGAGGAGUAGUAAAAGUUCUUUGGAAUAGGACAUCAUAGAGGGUGAGAAUCCCGUAUUUGACUAUUCUUUCUAGCUUUGUGAUACACUUUCAAAGAGUCGGAUUGUUUGGGAAUGCAGUCCAAAAUGGGUGGUAAAUUUCAUCUAAAGCUAAAUAUUGGCGAGAGACCGAUAGCGAACAAGUACCGUGAGGGAAAGAUGAAAAGAACUUUGAAAAGAGAGUUAAACAGUACGUGAAAUUGUCAAAAGGGAAGCGUUUGACACCAGUGUUGUUUUUCCGAAAAUCAAUUAAAAAUUGAUUCAUGCCAGGUUGUAUUGACCUUAUCAGGCUUGCAAUUUGGUUUUGGGUCUCUUUUUGAUGCACUUUUCGGUUAACAAGUCAACAUCAAUUUCCUUUGCUGUAAAAAGGUAAGAGGAAGGUGGCUUCAAUUUCGGUUGAAGUGUUUAUAGCCUUUUAUCUCUGCAGUCGGGGAGAUUGAGGUCUGCAGCGUAGAUCCUUCGGGGCUAGAUACAUUUAUGCUAAGUUAUAGCUUUUCAUAGACAACUUGUUGACUAUGUUUAGUCAUGUAGCUUACUCGUAAGUGCUAUUUUACCUACGCUUAGGAUGUUGAAGACUCUACAGAGAUA
rnacentral:rRNA from 1 species